GAUGAACGCUGGCGGCGUGCCUAAUACAUGCAAGUCGAGCGAACAGACGAGGAGCUUGCUCCUCUGACGUUAGCGGCGGACGGGUGAGUAACACGUGGAUAACCUACCUAUAAGACUGGGAUAACUUCGGGAAACCGGAGCUAAUACCGGAUAAUAUAUUGAACCGCAUGGUUCAAUAGUGAAAGACGGUUUAGCUGUCACUUAUAGAUGGAUCCGCGCCGCAUUAGCUAGUUGGUAAGGUAACGGCUUACCAAGGCAACGAUGCGUAGCCGACCUGAGAGGGUGAUCGGCCACACUGGAACUGAGCCACGGUCCAGACUCCUACGGGAGGCAGCAGUAGGGAAUCUUCCGCAAUGGGCGAAAGCCUGACGGAGCAACGCCGCGUGAGUGAUGAAGGUCUUCGGAUCGUAAAACUCUGUUAUUAGGGAAGAACAAAUGUGUAAGUAACUAUGCACGUCUUGACGGUACCUAAUCAGAAAGCCACGGCUAACUACGUG
rnacentral:rRNA from 1 species